UACGUAGGGUGCGAGCGUUGUCCGGAAUUACUGGGCGUAAGGGCUUGUAGGUGGUUUGUCGCGUUGUUCGUGAAAUGCCACAACUCAAUUGUGGGCGUGCGGGCGAUACGGGCAGACUGGAGUACUGCAGGGGAGACUGGAAUUCCUGGUGUAGCGGUGGAAUGCGCAGAUAUCAGGAGGAACACCGGUGGCGAAGGCGGCAUCCUGGACCAAUUCUGACGCUGAGGAGCGAAAGCCAGGGGAGCAAACGGG
rnacentral:rRNA from 1 species